rnacentral:rRNA from 1 species
UACGUAGGGGGCAAGCGUUGUCCGGAAUCACUGGGCGUAAAGCGCGCGCAGGCGGUCAUCUACGUCUGGGGUGAAAGCCCGGAGCUCAACUCCGGGAUUGCCUUGGAUACGGGAUGACUUGAGGAUCGGAGAGGCAAGGGGAAUUCCACGUGUAGCGGUGAAAUGCGUAGAGAUGUGGAGGAACACCUGUGGCGAAGGCGCCUUGCUGGCCGAUUUCUGACGCUGAGGCGCGAAAGCGUGGGGAGCAGACAGG